AACACACAUUCAGUUAAUGGCUUAGUGAUUACGGUAGUUGAACAGUUGGGUGUGUACUGGCUGGAAUAAUGAGCCUGUACACCCAGUAGGACCAGGAAUGAAGAACGGUAGUGUAAACUGGAACUGUAACUGUAAACCUAUGAGCCAACUGGCCCUGAUGCCCUGUUUCCUAGGUUGAAGAAUGUAUGGCAUUCUAGCCUUUAACUCACUGACUAUCACACUGGGGUUUUUAGUGUAUAAAAACAGAACUUGAAGUAGAAGCUCAGGAAAGACAGGAGGCAGUGAAACCAUCGUCCAAUCAGAGAGACAGGAGGCAAAUAAACCAUCGUCCAAUCAGAGAGACAGGAGGCAAAGAAACCAUCGUCCAAUCAGAGAGACAGGAGGCAGUGAAACCAUCGCGCAAUCAGAGUUAUACGUUCAGAAAAGAGAAAUGGUGGUGAAAUCUCAACUCUGAAUCCUGCUCUGGGAACUCUAAUCAGAGUUCACAAAAGAGAAAUGGUGAGAACAUCUCAACUUGGAAUCUGGGAACUCUAUGGGUUCAGAAUCUACUAGAUGGUGAGUUAUCAGACUCCUGGUCUGGGUCACUCUGGGAACUCUAUGGGUUCAGAAUCUACUAGAUGACGUGUCUGGUGCCGUACAUGGCGAUUUUCCUACCCAGGGCCAAUCCCUCAGUGAUGCCAACCUGAUGUUACACUUCUAUUAGCCUGGUCCCAGAUCAGUUUGGGAUGUCUUACUGACAACGACCAUCAAAGUCAACAAGAAAACACAAACAGUUCUUGUUGGGUGGAGUAGAGAUCGACAAAGACAACAACAUCAUCUUGCUGGACCUGGAGAUG